UACGUAGGGUGCGAGCGUUAAUCGGAAUUACUGGGCGUAAAGCGUGCGCAGGCGGUGAGCUGUGUCCGAUGUGAAAGCCCCGGGCUUAACCUGGGAAUGGCAUUGGAAACUGGCUCGCUGGAGUGUGGCAGAGGGGGGUGGAAUUCCUGGUGUAGCAGUGAAAUGCGUAGAUAUCAGGAGGAACAUCGAUGGCGAAGGCAGCCCCUUGGACCUGUACUGACGCUCAUGCACGAAAGCGUGGGGAGCAAACAGG
rnacentral:rRNA from 1 species